AUGACGGCCCUAUGGGUUGUAAACUGCUUUUUUACGGGAAUAAACUUAGCUACGUGUAGUUAACUGAAGGUACCGUAUGAAUAAGGAUCGGCUAACUCCGUGCCAGCAGCCGCGGUAAUACGGAGGAUUCGAGCGUUAUCCGGAUUUAUUGGGUUUAAAGGGUCCGUAGGCGGACUUGUAAGUCAGUGGUGAAAUCUCACAGCUCAACUGUGAAACUGCCAUUGAUACUGCUAGUCUUGAAUAUAGUUGAGGUAGGCGGAAUACGUUAUGUAGCGGUGAAAUGCAUAGAUAUAACGUAGAACACCGAUUGCGAAGGCAGCUUACUAAGCUAUUAUUGACGCUGAUGGACGAAAGCGUGGGGAGCGAACAGGAUUAGAUACCCUGGUAGUCCACGCCGUAAACGAUGAUUACUCGUUGUGCGCGAUACACAGUGCGCGACUGAG
rnacentral:rRNA from 1 species